rnacentral:rRNA from 1 species
CCUCGUGAAUUCAUCUCCGGGGGUAGAGCACUGUUUCGGCAAGGGGGUCAUCCCGACUUACCAACCCGAUGCAAACUGCGAAUACCGGAGAAUGUUAUCACGGGAGACACACGGCGGGUGCUAACGUCCGUCGUGAAGAGGGAAACAACCCAGACCGCCAGCUAAGGUCCCAAAGUCAUGGUUAAGUGGGAAACGAUGUGGGAAGGCCCAGACAGCCAGGAUGUUGGCUUAGAAGCAGCCAUCAUUUAAAGAAAGCGUAAUAGCUCACUGGUCGAGUCGGCCUGCGCGGAAGAUGUAACGGGGCUAAACCAUGCACCGAAGCUGCGGCAGCGACGCUGAUGCGUUGUUGGGUAGGGGAGCGUUCUGUAAGCCUGCGAAGGUGUGCUGUGAGGCAUGCUGGAGGUAUCAGAAGUGCGAAUGCUGACAUAAGUAACGAUAAAGCGGGUGAAAAGCCCGCUCGCCGGAAGACC